CCUUUGUUUUUCAUGUUCUAGGCUCAGGAGCGAUCAGAAAGUGAAGAACUGGCAUAUAUCAAGCAGCUAGUCAGAAAGAUCCUUAUAGUUAUUGCUCGUCCUGCUCGUUUACUGGAAUGCCUGGAAUUUGAUCCAGAAGAGUUUUACUAUCUUUUGGAAGCAGCUGAAGGCCAUGCUAAAGAGGGACAAGGCAUUAAAACAGACAUUCCCCGCUACAUUAUUAGUCAGCUGGGCUUAAAUAAAGAUCCUUUAGAAGAAAUAGCUCAGCUAGCUAACUGUGACAGUGGGACAGCAGAAACUCUGGAAAUGGAUGAAUCAAUAACUAGCUCUAAUACCUCACUACAGCUCCGGAGAAAACCUCGAGAAAGUGAUUUUGAAACAAUUAAACUGAUUAGUAAUGGAGCUUAUGGGUGAGUAAUUCAUGUUACUGUA